rnacentral:lncRNA from 1 species
CAAUGUGUUCCUUUCUGGAAAAACAGAAGAGGGCCUAGAAUUAUGGCUGCUCCCACUCCGAAACCCAUUCCAGUGACAAUGAUUUGCCAAUCAAAGGAUGAGCUUGAAUCUUGACGAUUAUAUCGUUCUGAGGAUGGUCCAGUUUCAGGUACAGCACAUGUUCUGUUCAGGGGUUUCCCACAUAAUCCCUCAUUCCCUCUGAAAGAUCCUUCGUCAAAUGUUGAUAGCUGAGUCCCAAGUGGAAUUUUUCCAGUCAGUUGAUUAUUUGACAAGUUCAAAUAUGCAAGGAAGUUUAAAUUUGCAAGCUCUGCCGGGAUGCUUCCACUUAGCUUGUUCGUUGACAAAUCCAAGGCUUCAAGUUGUUUCAAGUUUCCAAUUAAUGGUGGAAUCGUGCCUGUGAGUGCAUUGUGCGAUAUAUUCAGGAUAUAGAGCUCUUUGAGUUGGACCACAUUUUCUGGUAUAUUUCCUUCAAACUGAUUGCAAGAAAUGUCAAUGGAGUUGAAGAUUGUUAAGAUCUUCACAAGCUGUACCUCUAGCCCUUUGCUUGUUACUGUCACGGUGUCUUGAUAGUAGAAGUUAUUAAGCUUUAAGACCCUAAACCGCAAGUGAUUAAUCUCUGAUUGUGCAUCGUCCUUGUAUCCCAUCAUUGCUGUCCAGUUCAAGAAACAAUUCGGUGGUACCUUACCUGUAAAUUUAUUAGAAGCUAUGUCGAUGAUUUGAAGAUUUGGCCAAUGGCUCUUCGGCCCCGAGCACCGGAUGUCUCCAUGGAACUGGUUAGAACGCAAAACAAGGACUCGCAGAUUUGAAGAAUUCUUUAAAUAACAUGGAAAGGUAUCACUUAUCUGGUUGUUCCCCAGGUUCAGAACCUCUAACAUUGUGCAAUUGGACAGAGAAUUCGGAACCUUCCCUUGUAAUUGGUUUGCAUGCAGAUCCAGUGUUUUUAAACCGCAGUUCUCCAAAAACGUACCGUUGAUAUGUCCACUGAAUUUGUUAUUCCCAAGAUUUAGUACAGCAAGAGACUGUCUCUGUCCAAGUAAACAUGGUGGGAUCACUCCACUAAAAUUGUUAUUGGACAAAUCAAGAACUUGAAGAUAUGUAGCUUCACAGAUGGAAACAGGGAUGGUUCCAGUCAGCUUGUUGCUCGAAACAGAAAAGAAAUAAGCAAAGGUGAGAUUCUUGCCAAUAUCCAAAGAAAUUGAAGAACUGAAAUUGUUGUCUGAAUAAUCCACAUAUGAAGCAGUUUCAGGUGGUACUGGGAUUCUUCCGGUCAGUUGGUUAGAGUGCAAGUCAAGUACACUUAAUCUUGGAAAAGCAUAAGGUUCUUGGAGACUCACUAACUGAUUUCGAGACAAAUUUAAAUUCGUGAGAGAUCCAAUUCUCCAAGUCCAGUUUGGUAUUGCUCCGUGAAUUUGGUUGUCUGAUAGGUCUAGUACAGACAAUCUUAAUUGCUUUCCCAGACGAGGAAAAGAUUUUAGCUUGCAUGAAGCUAACUUAAAUGUGCUGUACUGGGGGAGCAGAGUCUCGCUUGAGCUGUUGUGACUGGUUUCAAUUGACAACCUGUUGUACGACAGAUCAAGAUUGGUUAGAUUUGCAAGCUUAUGAAUCAUUUCUAGCUGCAAUGAGCCAGCCAACUGAUUAGAGGACAGGGAGAGAAUGUUCAGCCGUUUGAGUUCAAACCAAGACAAUGGGAUAGACCCAUUCAAGUUGUUGCUACCCAAAUCAAGUGUAUCUAACUGUGAGCGCGAAGCAUCGGAAAAAUUGGCGAGUAAACCACCAAACUGAUUUUGGGAAAGCUUAAUUUGUCUCAAUGAUGGGAGAGCGAACAAUGAUGAAGGAAUUCUUCCCAUAAACGCAUUGAAUCCAAGAUCAACAUGUACAAGAUUGUCAAGUCCUAUGAAAUACGUAGAAGGAAUUGUACCUGAUAAUCUAUUAUGGGAGAAAUCUAUGUAGGUGAGGUUCUUGGACUUCUGUAACAAUGGAAUAUGACCACUAAGAUUGUUGUAUGAGAAGUCCAAACGGACAAGGCUUGUGAGGUUUGCCAUUGAAUUUGGAAUCAUUCCGCUGAAGUUGCAAUUCGUUAUCUCCAUCCUAGACAACAACCGUAAGUUCCCAAAAGACUCUGGUAACGUUCCUGAGAAAUUGGUAAAUGUGAGCACCAACGUCCGAAGGGAGCCAUUUUGGGGAAAUUCUGGUACAGAACCCCGCAGUUCUUUGUUGUCUGACAGAUCGAGAUCGUUUAGUGUCGGUACUUGUAAGAUCCUUUUGGGGAAUAUCCCCUGCAGAUUACAAGAACUGAGAUGUAAAACUGUCAAGUUUUUUAAGUUUGCCAAAAACUCUGGAACUGUGACACUCAGAUUGUUCUGAUCCAAACGAAUCUCUGAUAGAAACUGAACCCUUUCAAGAGAAGGGUCUAUAGGACCUGAUAUAUGACUACUUUUCAAGCUUAGCUUUCUCAAAUUAGGAAGUGAAGAUGAUAUUGCUAGAGACCAACUGUUUGCCUGAGUUGUCAUGUUGACACCAUCCAAAUACAAUUCGGUAAGCCCUUUGAGAUUUUGAACAAUCAUUUCUAAAUUUGGAUUCUCAAUUUUCAGUGAAGCUUUUCCAGAUACAAAAGAUGUAGAUAAAUCAAGAAUUUCCAACCUUUUCAUUUGCGAAAAUCCUUCUGGUAUCUGUCCAGCAAAUCCACAGUAUGACAAAUUCAGAUAUGUCAAACUUGAAAGAUUAAACAACCCAGCUGGAAUUUCAGUAGAAUUGAAAUUGUUGUAGGCCAAAUUCAGUUUCUGAAGAUACCGGAAUUGGUAUAGACUACUUGAACCAUUGAUCCCAUCAGAGAUUCCUUCUCCAUCCAGUUCAAUGCCAAUAACAUUACCAGAACUUGUAUUGCAGCUCACCCCUUCCCAUUUGCAGCAAUCCGUGCUCUGAUUCCAUUUCACAAUCUUUGUCGACACCAUUGUAUCGUACUUCAGACCAUCCUUCAGCUGAAACAACAAGUUCUUUUGAUCCUCCAGACAUUGACCAUGAACAGAAUUUAUUUCAGUGAUCAACAAGAUUUGGAAAAAGGGUAUCAAGAAAACCCAGAAAAAAUCUCUAUAUUUCAUUGCACACUCCUAUGACAGACACCCAUAAGCCUCAAAACAUGAUAAAAUAUUUCUGCAUCCACACUUCUUGAUUAUGUUCAUGCAGUAUUAUUCAGACAGAGAAAGAUGAAAAAUAAUUGGUCAUAUGAUGAGCUUGUGGUCAAUGUGAACUUGCGGGUGUUUUAGAUACGUUUACUAUUUUAUUUGUUUUGUAUAUUUGUUUGUACACUAUGUUCAAGUCUUAGACGCGUCUUGUUUGUUUUUCUAGAGCUGUGGGCGAGUUGGAGCCUUUUUUAUUUUGUAUUGGAGUGACUUGAUGUAUUAUUGACUUUGCUUUUUAUUUUUAUUAUUUCUCACUUCUGAAAGUUGUUCAUCUGCCAUUAAAAUUACACGACUAAGGGUUAAAAGUAUUAUACCCCUUUUGUCACGCUUUGAAUUUUGAUUAAAUACUCCAUAUUGAAUUUACCAAAACAAAGAGACAAUUAACAAAUAGUAGGUGCCAGACAGCCAGAUCCUACCAUUUCUUUAAUUCAUGACGAUGAAAAUGAAAUCUUGAAGUUAAGAAUUGUUCGAUAUAUAUGUUGUUUUUAAUUUUUGAAAACUUUAUGCCGGAAAUUACGUAAGAUUCUUUGGAAUCUUAGAUUUAAAAAAUUUAGAUCACUUUAAAAAAAACUUAUAAGUCAAAUGCGUUGGUGCAGUGUUUCUUUUUCUUUUCUUUUUUUCGAAAGCUCGGAUUCUUUUAUCCUGCAAGAAAAUUUUCUUCAACAUAUCGGCUGCACUUGUUUCUGUGUUUUUUUUUUUAUAUAAUGAUGCGAGAAAUUUAUGCACUGAGGUGUGACCUUUGUUAUGCUCUUUAAUGGAUUCUACAUCUACCGGUUUCAAAAUUCUACAGAGGAUAUGAAUACUAAUAAUGUAGUUCUACAUUUAUACUCUCAACUAACAGUCUGGAAGCUGUCCUCUUUCAUCAACCAAAACUUGUCUCACCGAUUAACAUCACUGGCUUAAAUGUAGCUUAUAUAAGUCCAUUUGACGAAUAAAUUUAACGACUAGUGAUCAUACUGAUUUGUUGCAGCCAACAUGGCAAAUCCGUCGGGACAACAUGUAUAAUCUUCCACAGCAAAAUUAGAACCUCAAAUCUCAUUUGUUACCUGGCUCUAGUACCAUAGUACCAUGUCAUGUAACCCGGAUAUCAUGUUAAAUUACUAGCUCUCUAAUACCUCAAUGUGUUAGGACUUAGGAGGAAGCCUUAACCGGAUCAUAUUAUACCAUGUGCCCUCACAUACCUUAGUCCAUACUGUCAUUAUUUGAAUGUUGAAUUUUCUAGCAGGAUUCUUCCAUCCGGUACCUUUGGAGGCCACGUUUCAGUUCUGCAGGUUGCAGCCGAAUCUCAAAUUUCUCUGUCAUUUAAUUUUUUCAUCUUCUGUGUGUUGCUUUCUAACGUAUUUAAUACAUGUACUGCCUAUCAUUAUUCAUGUCCUGAUUUUCUUGUGAUAUAUGGUUGAGCUUGCUUUCAAAGUAUAGGAGCCCAGAAUUUACUCUAGAUUUACCUGUCACAUUCUAAUAAACUUCUUCCCGGGUCCAGUCGGAAGACUUCCGCGGAUCAUACCAUCCUAGUACUUAUAUCGUCCAACUAUGCAUAACUCUAUAUUCCAAAUUUCCAAUAGGAUUCGGUGCGUGCACCAGUGCUGCUUGCACUUCUACAUUUACCUGUGAUUACUACAUUCUGCUUCAUUUGUAGCUGUAAAAUAUUACAAUCAUUCUACAACUGGUUUUCUGUUAAUGCUCUUCAGUGUCGUUGCGCAUCUCCAAACAUAAGAGAUAUCUUCUGCAAUCAAUCUUUUCAGAAAGAAUGAUGCCGAGCACCAUAGUUAUUUACUCCUCUGGUUUGUUUUGAAAUAUAGGUCGCUUAUUUUUUGCACGUAUUUCCAAGUCCAUGGUAAAAAUCAUUAUUUUUGAAAAAAAAAUUCUGAAUAAAAAUAUAUAUCACAUAUUUUUAUUGAAAAAAAACAAAUUUAAAAAAAAAAUGAUUUUUAGCAUGCGGUCAAAACACUAACAAUUGCGUGCAAAAAAAUCAAGCGACCUAUAUAUUAAAACAGAAGGAGUAACUUGUUUAAUAACAUAAAUUUGCUUGAAAUGAAGUGAAAGUGUGAAAGUGAGGUAGAUGCCAAAGUUAUUCGUAUAUACAUGUACUACUUGUAUUGCAUUCAUGUAAUUUAGGUUAAUCAGACACGAUUGUUUAUAUUAGGAUUCUUACCUGGCUCAAAAUUUCUGAGGCGUAAGUAUUCCGCCUCCAUCCCAAAUUAGAUGAGCUAGUUGACUUCGGGCACGUAACUUUAGCUGAUUGACCGCCUAUUCCGAAAUUUAUUUUUCCGAUUUUUCUUUUAUUAAUGAAAAUUUCAUAUUUUUAAUUUUUAUUUGUAAAAAUAAAAUUUUAAAAAUAAAUCAUGUAGCUAUGCGGUCAAUGAACCUUAAAUUGUGUGCCCAAAAUCAACGAGAUCAUCUAAUUUGGAAUGGAAGGAGUAAACGGUUAACCUGGUACUCCUGAAACUUUGUAUUAUGAGAUGUCUAUUUCUAAUGGGCUUCUUAAGUGAUUUUCUUUAUUGAGAAGAAAUUUAAAACAAGAACCCAAUGUAUAAUUAUUAAAUGUUGUAACCCCAAUCUGUUUUUACUUUAAAAAUUGUCGUUAACAUUAUCCAUUUGCAUUUUUAUGAUUUCCUUUGUCUUAGUUUAUUUUUUAGAACAAGUUAUCUAUCUAUAAAAUAAUAUAAAUAUAUAUAUUUAUUUUUAAGUUCAGCACGUAAAAGAUAAUCAAUAAUUUCAAUAAAAAAAUAUUUCUGAAAAAUACGAAAAGAGUCAACUGUAAUUUUAUUUAUUGGUGCAAAAAAUACUCCAUAACAGGGUAGACGAAGACGAAACUCCUCUGCACGAAUUGGCAGGUCCAGACGUCCUGUACUUAUACGCCUCGGCUACCUUGCCCUAUGAAUUCCAUUCCGUCUUUUUCGUGCCUGAUUUUUCCGCUUUGGGGACUGCUUUUGGAGUAUCUUAGCAAGAGCUCGAUCAACAUGUUCAAAGUAAUAUGCUCUCCAGUUCUUGUAAUAGAAAAGAGGCAUUACAACGAUUUCCAGGCCAACAAAGAACCCGAUUACAGCAGAUAUCAUAAUUCCCACCGUCAUGUCACUGGAAUCCUGAUUAUAUGGUUCAGCUUCAGGUACAGGUUCAGCACAUGUUCUGUUCAAUGGUUUCCCACAUAAUCCCUCAUUCCCUCUGAAAAAUCCUUCGUCAAAUGUUGAAAGCUGAGUCCCAAGUGGAAUUUUUCC